GACCUGUUAGCGCAUUCGGUAGCACACUAUAGUUGGACGAGAACGUAAUCAUGUGGGAACCUAGUUCGACUCUGGGAUGGGUCA